GAGUUUGAUCAUGGCUCAGAUUGAACGCUGGCGGCAGGCUUAACACAUGCAAGUCGAGCGGGGGAGGUUGCUUCGGUAACUGACCUAGCGGCGGACGGGUGAGUAAUACUUAGGAAUCUGCCUAUUAAUGGGGGACAACAUCUCGAAAGGGAUGCUAAUACCGCAUACGCCCUACGGGGAAAGCAGGGGAUCACUUGUGACCUUGCGUUAAUAGAUGAGCCUAAGUCGGAUUAGCUAGUUGGUGGGGUAAAGGCCUACCAAGGCGACGAUCUGUAGCGGGUCUGAGAGGAUGAUCCGCCACACUGGGACUGAGACACGGCCCAGACUCCUACGGGAGGCAGCAGUGGGGAAUAUUAGACAAUGGGGGGAACCCUGAUCCAGCCAUGCCGCGUGUGUGAAGAAGGCCUUAUGGUUGUAAAGCACUUUAAGCGAGGAGGAGGCUCUUCUAGUUAAUACCUAGGAUGAGUGGACGUUACUCGCAGAAUAAGCACCGGCUAACUCUGUGCCAGCCGCCGC
rnacentral:rRNA from 1 species